AUUGAACGCUGGCGGCAGGCCUAACACAUGCAAGUCGAGCGGAUGAAGGGAGCUUGCUCCUGGAUUCAGCGGCGGACGGGUGAGUAAUGCCUAGGAAUCUGCCUGGUAGUGGGGGAUAACGUCCGGAAACGGGCGCUAAUACCGCAUACGUCCUGAGGGAGAAAGUGGGGGAUCUUCGGACCUCACGCUAUCACAUGAGCCUAGGUCGGAUUAGCUAGUUGGUGGGGUAAAGGCCUACCAAGGCGACGAUCCGUAACUGGUCUGAGAGGAUGAUCAGUCACACUGGAACUGAGACACGGUCCAGACUCCUACGGGAGGCAGCAGUGGGGAAUAUUGGACAAUGGGCGAAAGCCUGAUCCAGCCAUGCCGCGUGUGUGAAGAAGGUCUUCGGAUUGUAAGGCACUUUAAGUUGGGAGGAAGGGCAGUAAGUUAAUACCUUGCUGUUUUGACGUUACCAACAGAAUAAGCACCGGCUAACUUCGUG
rnacentral:rRNA from 1 species